AGAAAGAAAUGUCACAGCGAUACAUGCUGCACCAUGGAUGGACCCUACAAAUAUACCAAGAAAAAGAAGCCAGACAUGAAAGUGUUAUUGGAGAGUAGGAUGGCCCCCUAAGUCUGCAUAAGAAGAGGUGGAGAGACAUGGAGACAGACACAGAGGGAAGACGGCCAUUUGAAAACACGAGAGAUCCCAGCAAAGUAUCUACAGACAAGGAGCCCAAGGACUGCCUGCCAUCCCCAGAAGCGAGGAGAGCUGGGAACGGAUUCUCCCUUUGAGCCUCAGAGCCCUCACAAGGCCAGCUCUGCACCUUGAUCUUGGACUUCUGGCCUCCAGAACUGUGAGAGAAUACAUUUUUAUGGUUUUAAGCCACUUGGCUUGUGGCACUUUGUGACAGCAGCCCCAGGAAAUGAAUAUGGGCAGGAAAAGGUCAGUCUCUUGACUUCCCAGAUUAUUCUGCCCUACAGAGGGAGGUUUGGGGUACAGUGACUGACAGCCACCCCAGAAGCUCAAAUGUGUGUGUGGGAGGAACAAUACCCCAAAGGGAAGGUCUAUACCCCAGAAGAAGGAGGAAGGAACUGGGGCAGAUGAGAAGUCCUGCUGUCCUACACACACACACCCUUCACCUCCUACUCAUGAAAGAGGGAGGAAGUGGGGGCUUGGUCAGUGGAGCUGCUGGUUCAAAGUCUAGAGCUCCUGUGUGACCAAGUCACAGUUAUAAUCGAGGCGUUCCUUUCUACAGGCUCAGAUCCAUCUGAUUACAUCACGUUCAAGUUGAGGACAGUUAAAAUCAGGCUGAGGAUAGGGCUGGCCAGAAAAUUUUCAUGUCAUCCAUUGUCUGCAGCAUAACUCUUCACUGAAUUCCUGAUUUGUACCCAAACUCACCACUCUACACUGUACAUACCCCACCCUCCUAUAUGCCUACAAGCAUUCAUGGCAAGACUGGUAUUUAGACAAAACAGGUUUGGGGACCCCAUGGGAGCUCUGCAUUUCACAGCUGAGUAAACCAGGGUGUCACUACACAUCUCUGAACCUUGGUUCCUCAUUCGUUAUGUGCAAGCACCAGUACAGAGGCAUGUUGUACCACAGCCCACCAAAGUCUGACAGGUGGCAUGUGUCUAAGACACAGAAGCCAUCAAUGCACAUCAACCUCCACUUCGUGGUAAAUUUUCUCACCCACCCAAACCCAUCCAUCCCAGUCCUGGAGACUUACCGAGGCAAAGCAAGGACAGGAAUUCUGUGAUCAUAGUGCCCCUUCCACCCAGACCGAGAUCCUGUCUUCAGUUUUAUAGUUCAAAGGAAGAAGGGGGACUGGGCCAUCAUGGCUCCCUCCUGCCACUUUGUGCCCAGGCUGUGUGGGUAGAGGUUUCACCCUGACACUUUGGUUCUCCACCACCUGGUGUAGAGUUUCCUUCUCACAACCAAGCCAGGAAAUGAUCAAUGACAACAUCUCCUUCAUAAAUCCGGUGUGUGUGCCAGCUCCACCCACCCCAAGAUCUGUCUUAUCUCAUCUAAAGUCCUGACCAAGAUAUUUUCUUUUACAAAAAAAUAAUAAUUGUCUUGGAAAACGUUUUAGAGUUGCAAAAAAAAAAAAAAAUACAGGGUUCCCAUGUGCCCAUCAACCAGCUUUCCCUAAUGGUAGUAGAAGUACAGUACAUUAUCAAAACCAGAAAAUUAGCAUCAGCAAAAUACAGUGGCUGGGCAAGCACAUGGUAACGUCUAAAAUGCAGGAGUCUCUGGUAAAAGCUGGGCACCCGCUGCCCGUGAGAGCAGGUUGGUCAACAAGAAAGCAGAAAUGGAUGUCUGCCUUUGAAGCUGAGUAAACUUGUCUCUUAGUAAACCUUGACAAA